rnacentral:rRNA from 1 species
UACGUAGGGUGCAAGCGUUGUCCGGAAUCAUUGGGCGUAAAGAGCUCGUAGGCGGUCUGUCGCGUCGGCUGUGAAAACUCGGGGCUUAACCCCGGGCCUGCAGUGGGUACGGGCAGACUAGAGUGCGGUAGGGGAGACUGGAAUUCCUGGUGUAGCGGUGAAAUGCGCAGAUAUCAGGAGGAACACCGGUGGCGAAGGCGGGUCUCUGGGCCGUAACUGACGCUGAGGAGCGAAAGCGUGGGGAGCGAACAGG